rnacentral:rRNA from 1 species
AGCAGCCGCGGUAAUUCCAGCUCCAAUAGCGUAUAUUAAAGUUGUUGCAGUUAAAAAGCUCGUAGCUGAAUUUCGGGGUCAGUAGGUCGGUCGUGCCACUGGUAUGAACUGGUUUUACUGAUUCCUCCCUCUUGAAGAACUGUAAUGCCAUUAAUUUGGUGUUGCAGGGAAUCAGGACUGUUACUUUGAAAAAAUUAGAGUGUUUAAAGCAGGCUUUAGCUUGAAUACAUUAGCAUGGAAUAAUGAAAUAGGACGUUUGAUCCUAUUUUGUUGGUUUCUAGGAUUGACGUAAUGAUUAAUAGGGAUAGUUGGGGGCAUUAGUAUUCAAUUGUCAGAGGUGAAAUUCUUGGAUUUAUUGAAGACUAACUACUGCGAAAGCAUUUGCCAAGGAUGUUUUCAUUAAUCAAGAACGAAAGUUAGGGGAUCGAAGACGAUCAGAUACCGUCGUAGUCCUAACCAUAAACUAUGCCGACUAGGGAUCGGAUGAUGUUAAUUUUUUAAUGACUCA